GACGAACGCUGGCGGCGUGCCUAAUACAUGCAAGUAGAACGCUGAAGGAGGAGCUUGCUUCUCUGGAUGAGUUGCGAACGGGUGAGUAACGCGUAGGUAACCUGCCUGGUAGCGGGGGAUAACUAUUGGAAACGAUAGCUAAUACCGCAUAAGAGUAGAUGUUGCAUGACAUUUGCUUAAAAGGUGCAAUUGCAUCACUACCAGAUGGACCUGCGUUGUAUUAGCUAGUUGGUGGGGUAACGGCUCACCAAGGCGACGAUACAUAGCCGACCUGAGAGGGUGAUCGGCCACACUGGGACUGAGACACGGCCCAGACUCCUACGGGAGGCAGCAGUAGGGAAUCUUCGGCAAUAGACGGAAGUCUGACCGAGCAACGCCGCGUGAGUGAAGAAGGUUUUCGGAUCGUAAAGAUCUGUUGUAAGAGAAGAACGAGUGUGAGAGUGGAAAGUUCACACUGUGACGGUAUCUUACCAGAAAGGGACGGCUAACUACGUG
rnacentral:rRNA from 1 species